GUAGGAUGUGGUAGGAUUCUUUUUCAAAAAUUAGAGGCAUAAAAUUAGAAAGUUAGAAAAUAGAGAGGUGGUAGGAUGUCUAGAGAGGUGGUAGGAUUUGUUUUCAGAAAUUAGGAUGUGGUUGUCGGCCGUCAUGCUGUUUCUUUGGUGUGGAUGUAUUUGUCGGCCAUCGUGCCAUCUCUUGGUGAGAUUGUGGUUGUUGGCCAUCGUGCUAUCUCUUUGGUGAGAAUGUGAUUGUUGGCCAUCGUGCCGUU
rnacentral:lncRNA from 1 species